GGCCGUGUGGAUGCAGGGCACGGUGGAGACGGCGGGCGGCGGUGAGGCGCGGCUGCGGGACCCGAGCGGGGCCUUCUCGGUGCGCGGCCUGGAACGGGUGCCGCGUGGGCGGCCUUGCCUCGUGCCAGGAAAGUAUGUGAUGGUGAUGGGAGUGGUUCAGGCCUGCAGCCCUGAGCCCUGCCUGCAGGCUGUGAAGAUGACAGACCUUUCCGAUAAUCCGCUCCACGAGAGCAUGUGGGAGCUGGAAGUGGAAGAUUUACACAGGAAUAUUCCUUAGAUGGUGUGGGAACCGUCCAUAAAAGCAGCCGAAACACUGAAACAGCUCCGGUUCUUAUACCAUCUGGAUUUCAUGGCCACCACUCAGUAUACAUUUCUCAAAAGCAUAUCUGAGAGCUUAGCUCCAAGAAGUCCGGAUGUAGGAUUUCUAAAUCCUGGGACACAUCAGUGAACUCAGCCCCUGCUGCCCCUUGCUUUGACUGUUUGCUGAUGAAAAGCAGAUGUUUCGUUUGGUAGUCUGUCUCUGUCUCUGUCUCUCUUUCUUUUUUUUUUUUUUUUUUUUUGCUUUACAUGGGUUAACGCUCUCUUCCUAAAGCACCCAGGAAUCUCCCGUCGCAUUUGCCAAGUUUUACAAGUGAUGAUGCUUUUUCCAUGACCACCACGACCCAGUUUUACGAGGCAAAAUUUGAAUCUCGGUCUCUGCCCACGGAGAUUAAAGUGUGGUUCUGGGCAGGAAAACAGGCUGCAUGGAAAAGGAAUGACCUCAUGGCUCCAUGGCUCCCCCGUCAACAACUUCCAUGUCCAGUUUGCAAGUCCAGCGGGGUGUUCUCUAGCUGCAGGCCCUGGGGCCUCUCAAAGACGCAGCCCUCUUCCUGCUUCGGAUGCCGCUCAGCCCUGGGGGGAAGGUCCCUUCCCCGCAGGUGGGGACCGUGAAGCCUGCCCUUCUUCCUUCACUUGGGAUGUUGAAACCCUUCCAGAGUUUCUUGUUGAAACCAAAGUCAAGGUUAAGAAGGACUUCCAGGCACGAAUGAAACUUUUGGUGAGACUCUGGGAGGGAGACACGGUCCUGGGUCAGCAUCUGCGCCGGGUUUUGUUGUGAUUGCAUUGAGUGCUGGCUUGCUGCUCUCGGCUGCUUCCCCAACAUCCAUUUUCCCUCGCGCUGUAAAUGCCGGGCAGCCCUCGUUGCUGUAGAGUUUUGCUGGGCUAUUGAUUUCUACCACUAAUACAUUGUUUUCUAGGCUGUAUGUUUUUCAAAUAGGUUUGUAAGCCAGCUGACAUCUCUAGAUAAAAAGAGCAGAAGGUACGGGAGUUCCCACAGAGGCCUCCCUCAGUUUCCGCUGCUGUUAACAUCAUGCCGGGGUGCGCUCCGUUUGUUGAAAUGGAUGAGCCGGCACCGAUACAGUCUUAUUAAGUAAAGCCCAUCAUUUACGGUACGGCCAGGCUUUGUGCUGUGUGCAGUUCAGUGCGUGUUACAAAGGCCCCAAUCAUAUCAUGUGUUCACCAUUAAAAUAUACAGAAUACUUUUGUUUCCCUAGAAAUCCUCUGAGCUCCCCCAGUUCGUCCUGCCCUCCCCCUAACCCCAGGCCACCACUGAUCUUUGUGCGUCUCCAUAGUUUCACUUUUCCAGAAUGUCGUGUGGUUGGAAUCCCACGUACGGAGCCUUUUCAGAGCGGCUUCUUCUGCUCAGCAACGUGCAGUGAAGGUUUGUCCCUGUAGUUCUGUAGCCUGAGCGCUCGUUUCUCUUUCUCCUGACUCAUCCUCCUCCGCUGUGUGGAUGCACCAGAGUCUCUUUACCAAUUCACUUAUUGAAGGACACGGGUUCGAUUCCCGGUUUCAGCAUUUCCUCAUUAAUAGCAAGGCUGCUGCAAACAUUCCUGGGCGGGUUUUGUGUGGACGCACAGUUACUGCAUAAACGCCCAGGAGCACAAUUGGUGGUUGUCUGGUCAGCCUGUGUCUGGCCUCAUAAGAACCUGCCAGACUGUGUCUCAGCCCAUUCUGACGGCUGUCACUCACACCACAGGUUGCUGCUGAAACGCAUCAGGAAUCUUCACACUUCUGGGGGGCUGGGAAGCCCAAGGUCAAGGUGCUGCUCCCUCCUUCACAGACGCCUGUCCUCUCUCUGUCUGCACCCAGCGGGAGGGGCAAGACUGCGCCCCAGGGUCUCCUGUAAGGGCCCUGAUCCCCGUCACCCCCCAAAGGCCCCACCUCCACAUCCCAUCCAUCACACCGGGUUAGGGUUCAACGUGGGAAUUUGGGGGGGGGACACAUUUCAGGCUGUAGCACUUUGGGGUCACAGUCUGUAGCACUUGGGGGACACACAGUCUCACACUUGGGGGGACACUAGCACUUUGGGGUCACAGUCUAGCAUUUUGGAGACACAGUCUAGCACUUGCGGGGAGACACACAGUCUGCAGCAUUGUCCUCUAGAGCGGCUGAACCCCUUCGCCUUCCCAGCAGCCAUGGACGGAGCUCCUGUUCUACGGCCUCACCAGUGUUUGGUGUUGUCAGUGUUUUGGAUGUACUGUAUUUUUAAAUGCUAGCAUUUUCUUUUAAAAGUGGGGAAAUUG
rnacentral:lncRNA from 1 species